rnacentral:other from 1 species
UUUCCCCUGCGCUUACGCGUGAUGGGCUUUUUUGCUUAUAACCCAGUAGCCUAAAAACGGGAACGAUUCCCUGCUACGGUGAGCGAGGCGGUGCGCAGGCUUUGCCUAAAGUAGUAAAACCGUGCCCACCUGACAUUACUGGGUAGGGUUAUUAGACAAAGGAUCACACGGUUUGCGCGGGGGAAGA